rnacentral:rRNA from 1 species
GCGGCGUGGAUAAGGCAUGCAAGUCGAGCGCUCCAGCUUGCUGGAGAGCGGCAGACGGGUGAGUAAUACAUAGGAAUCUACCUCAAAGUCUGGAAUAACAUCGAGAAAUCGGUGCUAAUACUAGAUAGUCCCGCAAGGGUAAAGAUUUAUCGCUUUGAGAAGAGCCUGUGCACUAUCAGCUUGUUGGUGAGGUAAAAGCUUACCAAGGCUAUGACGGUUAGGAGGCCCGAGAGGGUGUUCUCCCACAUUGGCACUGAGACACUGGCCAAACUCCUACGGGAGGCUGCAGUCGAGAAUCUUCGUCAAUGCGCGAAAGCGUGAACGAGCGACGCCGCGUGAAUGAUGACGCUCUUCGGAGUGUAAAAUUCUUUUGUUAGGGAAAAACUUUGAUAUUACCUAACGAAUAAGAGGUUGCUAACUCUGUGCCAGCAGCAGCGGUAAUACAGAGACCUCAAGCGUUAUCCGGAUUUAUUGGGCGUAAAGCGUCUGUAGGCGGAAUAAAUAGUCAGAUGUUAAAUUUCAGGGCUCAACCCUGAAACCGCAUUUGAAACGUUUAUUCUAGAGGAUGGUAGAGGCAAGUGGAACUUACGGUGUAGCAGUAAAAUGCGUUGAUACCAUAAGGAACACCAAAGGCGAAGGCAUCUUGCUGGACCAUUUCUGACGCUGAGAGACGAAAGCGUGGGUAGCGAAUGGGAUUAGAUACCCCAGUAGUCCACGCCGUAAACGAUGGAUAUUAGACAUUAGGAGUGUCGACCCUUUUAGUGUCGAAGCUAACGCAUUAAAUAUCCCGCCUGGGAAGU